rnacentral:lncRNA from 1 species
CCAUCUCUGCCUCGCCGCUGGGGUCCAUUGUUGUCGGUGCCCCCCCCCCCCCCUCCAGUGGGGAUUAAUUUGGUCCUUCACCAGUCUUUUAGUUUCAACAGCUGCUGUGAGCUUCUUUAUCUCUGUCACGCUCUUUCUGUCUCUCCUUUAUUGCUGUCUCUCUCUUUCUGUCUCUCCUUUAUCGCUGUCUCUCUCUUUCUCUCUUUCUCCUUUAUCUCUCUCUCUUUCUGUCUCUCCUUUCUCUCUUAUCUCUCUUUCUCUCUCCUUUCUCUCUCCUUUAUCUCUCUCUCUCCUUUAUCUCUUUCUGUCUCUCUUUCUUUCUCCUUUAUCUCUCCUUUCUCUCUCUUUCUCUCUCUCCUUUCUCUCUCUUUCUCUCUCUCCUUUCUCUCUCUUUCUGUCUCUCUCCUUUAUCUAUCUCUCUUUCUGUCUCUCUCCUUUAUCUGUCUCUCUUUCUGUCUCUCUCUCCUUUCUCUCUCUUUCUGUCUCUCUCCUUUCUUUCUUUCUUUCUGUCUCUCUCUUUCUGUCUUUCUCCUUUCUGUCUCUCUCCUUUAUCGCUCUCUCUUUCUGUCUCCUUUAUCGCUCUCUCUUUCUGUCUCCUUUAUCUCUCUCUCUUUCUGUCACUCUCCUUUCUGUCUCCUUGCUGUCUCUUUCUGUCUCUCCUUUCUCUCUUUCUGUCUCUCCUUUCUCUGUCUUUCUCCUUUCUCUGUCUCUUAUCUCUGUCUUUCUCUCUUCUGUCUCUCUCCUUUAUCUCUGUCUUUCUCUCUUUGUCUCUCUCCUUUAUCUCUGUCUUUCUCUCUUUCUGUCUCUCCUUUAUCUCUGUCUUUCUCUCUUUCUGUCUCUCUCCUUUAUCUGUCUCUCUCUCUUUCUGUCUCUUUCCUUUAUCUCUCUCUUUCUGUCUCUUUCCUUUUUCUGUCUCUCUUUUUGUCUCUCUCCUUUAUCUCUCUCUCUUUUUGUCUCUCUCCUUUAUCUCUCUCUCUUUUUGUCUCUCUCCUUUAUCUCUCUCUCUCUUUUUGUCUCUCUCCUUUAUCUCUCUCUCUUUCUGUCUCUUUCCUUUAUCUCUCUCUCUUUUGUCUCUUUCCUUUAUCUCUCUCUCUUUUUGUCUCUCUCCUUUAUCUCUCUCUCUUUCUGUCUCUCCUUUAUCUCUCUCUCUUUCUGUCUCUCUCCUUUAUCUCUCUCUCUUUCUGUCUCUCUCCUUUCUGUCUCUCUCUCUUUCUGUCUCUCUCCUUUCUGUCUCUCUAUUGCUGUCUCUCUCCUUUAUCGCUCUCUCUUUCUGUCUCCUUUAUCUCUCUCUCUCUUUCUGUCACUCUCUUUUCUUUGUCUCUCUCCUUUCUGUCUCCUUUCUCUGUCUCUUUCUGUCUCUCUCCUUUCUCUGUCUCUCUCUUUCAUCUGUCUCUCUCUUUUCUCUGUCUCUUAUCUCUGUCCUUUCUCCUUUCUCCGUCUCUCCUUUAUCUCUGUCUUUCUCUCUUUCUCUCUUUCUGUCUCUCUUUCUCUCUCUCCUUUAUCUCUGUCUUUCUCCUUUCUCUCUCUCCUUUAUCUCUGUCUUUCUCCUUUCUCUGUCUCUCCUUUAUAUAUCUCUCUUUUUGUCUCUCUCCUUAUCUCUCUCUUUCUGUCUCUCCUUUAUCUCUCUCUCUUUCUGUCUUUCUCCUUUCUGUCUCUCUCCUUUAUCUCUGUCUUUCUCUCUUUCUGUCUCUCUUUCUCUCUCUCCUUUAUCUCUCUCUCUUUUUGUCUCUCUCCUUUAUCUCUCUCUCUUUUUGUCUCUCUCCUUUAUCUCUCUCUCUUUCUGUCUCUUUCCUUUAUCUCUCUCUCUUUUUGUCUCUUUCCUUUAUCUCUCUCUCUUUUUGUCUCUCCUUUAUCUCUCUCUCUUUUUGUCUCUCUCCUUUAUCUCUCUCUCUUUCUGUCUCUCCUUUAUCUCUCUCUCUUUCCGUCUCUCUCCUUUAUCUCUCUCUCUUUCUGUCUCUCUCCUUUCUGUCUCUCUCUCUUUCUGUCUCUCUCUCUUUAUCUCUCUUUCUGUCUCUCUCCUUUCUGUCUCUCUAUUGCUGUCUCUCUCCUUUAUCGCUCUCUCUUUCUGUCUCCUUUAUCUCUCUCUCUCUUUCUGUCACUCUCUUUUCUUUGUCUCUCUCCUUUCUGUCUCCUUUCUCUGUCUCUUUCUGUCUCUCUCCUUUCUCUGUCUCUCUCUUUCAUCUGUCUCUCUUUUCUCUGUCUCUUAUCUCUGUCUUUCUCCUUUCUCCGUCUCUCCUUUAUCUCUGUCUUUCUCUCUUUCUGUCUCUCUUUCUCUCUCUCCUUUAUCUCUGUCUUUCUCCUUUCUCUCUCUCCUUUAUCUCUGUCUUUCUCCUUUCUCUGUCUCUCCUUUAUAUAUCUCUCUUUUUGUCUCUCUCCUUAUCUCUCUCUCUUUCUGUCUCUCCUUUCUGUCUCUCUCCUUUAUCUCUGUCUUUCUCUCUUUCUGUCUCUCUUUCUCUCUCUCCUUUAUCUCUGUCUUUCUCCUUUCUCUGUCUCUUUCUGUCUCUCUCCUUUCUCUGUCUCUCUCUUUCAUCUGUCUCUCUCUUUCUGCCUCUCUCCUUUAUCUCUGUCUUUCUCGCUUUCUGUCUCUCUCCUUUAUCUCUGUCUUUCUCUCUUUCUGUCUCUCUCCUUUAUCUCUCUCUCUUUCUGUCUCUCUCCUUUCUAUCUCUCUCUCUUUCUGUCUCUCUCUCUUUCUGUCUCUCUCUCUUUCUGUCUCUCUCCUUUCUGUCUCUCUCUCUUUCUGUCUCUCUCUCUUUCUGUCUCUCUCUCUUUCUGUCUCUCUCUCUUUCUGUCUCUCUCUUUCUGUCUCUCUCCUUUAUCUCUCUUUCUGUCUCUCUCAUCUCUCUUUCUGUCUCUCUCCUUUAUCGCUCUCUCUUUCUGUCUCCUUUAUCUCUCUCUCUUUCUGUCACUCUCCUUUCUUUGUCUCUCUCCUUUCUGUCUCUCUCCUAUCUCUGUCUCUCUCUUUCAUCUGUCUUUCUGCCUCUCUCCUUUAUCUCUGUCUUUCUCUUUUCUCUGUCUCUUAUCUGUCUUUCUCCUUUCUCCGUCUCUCCUUUAUCUCUGUCUUUCUCUCUUUCUGUCUCUCUCCUUUAUCUCUGUCUUUCUCUCUUUCUGUCUCUCUUUCUCUCUCUCCUUUAUCUCUGUCUUUCUCUCUUUCUGUCUCUCUCCUUUCUCUCUUUCUCUCUUUCUGUCUCUCUCCUUUAUCUCUCUUUCUCUCUUUCUGUCUCUCUCUAUCUCUCUUUCUGUCUCUCUCUCUUUCUGUCUCUCUAUUUCUGUCUCUCUCCUUUAUCUCUCUUUCUGUCUCUCUCCUUUCUGUCUCUCUCCUUUCUGUCUCUCGCCUUUAUCGCUCUCUCUUUCUGUCUCUCUCCUUUAUCGCUCUCUCUUUCUGUCUCCUUUAUCUCUCUCUCUUUCUGUCACUCUCCUUUCUUUGUCUCUCUCCUUUCUGUCUCCUUUCUCUGUCUCUUUCUGUCUCUCUCCUUUCUCUGUCUCUCUCUUUCAUCUGUCUCUCUUUCUGCCUCUCUCCUUUAUCUCUGUCUCUCUCCUUUCUGUCUCUCUCUCUUUCUGUCUCUCUCCUUUCUGUCUCUCUCUCUUUCUGUCUCUCUAUUUCUGUCUCUCUCCUUUAUCUCUCUUUCUGUCUCUCUCCUUUCUGUCUCUCUCCUUUCUGUCUCUCUCCUUUCUGUCUCUCUCCUUUAUCGCUCUCUCUUUCUGUCUCCUUUAUCUCUCUCUCUUUCUGUCACUCUCCUUUCUUUGUCUCUCUCCUUUCUGUCUCCUUUCUCUGUCUCUCUCCUUUCUCUGUCUCUCUCUUUCAUCUGUCUCUCUCUUUCUGCCUCUCUCCUUUAUCUCUGUCUUUCUCCUUUCUCCGUCUCUCCUUUAUCUCUCUCUCUUUCUGUCACUCUCCUUUCUUUGUCUCUCUCCUUUCUGUCUCCUUUCUCUGUCUCUCUCCUUUCUCUGUCUCUCUCUUUCAUCUGUCUCUCUCUUUCUGCCUCUCUCCUUUAUCUCUGUCUUUCUCCUUUCUCCGUCUCUCCUUUAUCUCUCUCUCUUUCUGUCACUCUCCUUUCUUUGUCUCUCUCCUUUCUGUCUCCUUUCUCUGUCUCUUUCUGUCUCUCUCCUUUCUCUGUCUCUCUCUUUCAUCUGUCUCUCUUUCUGCCUCUCUCCUUUAUCUCUGUCUCUCUCCUUUCUGUCUCUCUCUCUUUCUGUCUCUCUCCUUUCUGUCUCUCUCUCUUUCUGUCUCUCUAUUUCUGUCUCUCUCCUUUAUCUCCCUUUCUGUCUCUCUCCUUUCUGUCUCUCUCCUUUCUGUCUCUCUCCUUUCUGUCUCUCUCCUUUAUCGCUCUCUCUUUCUGUCUCCUUUAUCUCUCUCUCUUUCUGUCACUCUCCUUUCUUUGUCUCUCUCCUUUCUGUCUCCUUUCUCUGUCUCUCUCCUUUCUCUGUCUCUCUCUUUCAUCUGUCUCUCUCUUUCUGCCUCUCUCCUUUAUCUCUGUCUUUCUCCUUUCUCCGUCUCUCCUUUAUCUCUCUCUCUUUCUGUCACUCUCCUUUCUUUGUCUCUCUCCUUUCUGUCUCCUUUCUCUGUCUCUCUCCUUUCUCUGUCUCUCUCUUUCAUCUGUCUCUCUCUUUCUGUCUCUCUCCUUUAUCUCUGUCUUUCUCUCUUUCUGUCUCUCUUUCUCUCUCUCUCUCCUUUCUCUGUCUUUCUCUCUCUCUCUCCUUUCUCUGUCUUUCUCCUUUCUCUGUCUCUCCUUUAUAUCUCUGUCUCUUUCCUUUAUCUCUCUCUCUUUUUGUCUCUCUCCUUUAUCUCUCUCUCUUUCUGUCUCUCCUUUAUCUCUCUCUCUUUCAUCUGUCUCUCUCUUUCUGCCUCUCUCCUUUAUCUCUGUCUCUUAUCUCUGUCUUUCUCCUUUCUCUGUCUCGCUCCUUUAUCUCUGUCCCUCUCUUUCUGUCUCCCUCCUUUAUUUCUGUCUCUCUCUUUCUCUCUUCUGUCUCUCUCCUUUAUCUCUCUCUCUUUCUCCUUUCUCUGUCUCACUCCUUUAUCUCUUUCGCUCUCGCCCCAAAAUUGAACUUGCAGUAACCAUAGCUUUAUCUGUCUCUCUUCAGUCUUAA